GACGAACGCUGGCGGCGUGCUUAACACAUGCAAGUCGAACGGAAAGGCCCUGCUUUUGUGGGGUGCUCGAGUGGCGAACGGGUGAGUAACACGUGAAUAACCUGCCCUUGACUUUGGGAUAACUUCAGGAAACUGGGGCUAAUACCGGAUAGGAGCUCCUGCUGCAUGGUGGGGGUUGGAAAGUUUCGGCGGUUGGGGAUGGACUCGCGGCUUAUCAGCUUGUUGGUGGGGUAGUGGCUUACCAAGGCUUUGACGGGUAGCCGGCCUGAGAGGGUGACCGGCCACAUUGGGACUGAGAUACGGCCCAGACUCCUACGGGAGGCAGCAGUGGGGAAUAUUGCACAAUGGGCGGAAGCCGGAUGCAGCAACGCCGCGUGCGGGAUGACGGCCUUCGGGUUGUAAACCGCUUUCGCCUGUGACGAAGCGUGAGUGACGGUAAUGGGUAAAGAAGCACCGGCUAACUACGU
rnacentral:rRNA from 1 species